rnacentral:misc_RNA from 1 species
CCCCGCUGACGGAGAAGGACCUAGCCGAUGUGGAGGUCGGCGCCGAAUUGGGUGUGGACUUUGUGGCGCUAAGCUUUUGUCGGGAGGCGAGCGACGUCGAAGCGUUGCGAAAAGUGCUACGGGAACUGGGAAGCAAAGCCCGUAUCGUGGCAAAAAUCGAAGACCAGUCGGCAGUUCGAAACGUAAACGACAUCAUCGACACCACGGAUGCCGUGAUGGUGGCGCGCGGCGAUCUCGGCAUCGAGUGUCCGAUGGAAGAAUUGCCGAUUAUUCAGCGUAAAAUCGUAAAGCGCUGUAUCAAGAAAGGCAGACCGGUGAUCGUGGCGACGCACAUGCUGGAAUCGAUGAUCAGCAAUCCCGUUCCGACCCGUGCCGAAAUCACCGAUGUUGCAAACGCUGCCUUUGAGCAAGCGGACUGCGUCAUGCUGAGCGGCGAAACUACGGUCGGCAAGUAUCCAAUUGCUUGUAUUAACGUUCUGGCGCGAGUCACAAUGCGAAUCGAGCGUAGUGGUGGUGCCGGCUUCGCGAAGGAGGCGAUCCUCGAAAACGAUCGGCAGAAGACAGUCCACUCCGCGGUGAGCCUCGCUAACUCCUUGCCCGGCGCAAAGAUCAUGGUCUUUACAAGACGAGGGAUCACUGCGGAUUAUGUCUCGAACCUGAGGCCGCAUUCGGCGCCGAUUCAUGCUUUUGCGCCGACCUACGAACUCUGCCGGCAGUUGGUCAUGAACUGGGGUAUCACUCCGCACUACCUGCCCUUUGAUCCCAAUCCGUUAAGAACCAUAGGGUCGGCACAGAACUUGUUGCUCGAAAAUGGGUUGGCAAAACCCGGCGACCAUUUGGUCAUCCUCAGUGAUCUCCUCGCGGGCGAAGAUCGAUUCGAUUCUGUUCAACUCCGCAUCGUAACUUGAAAAACGGAAAGGGCGCGCCCGCUUCCGGACGCGCCCUCGAGGGGAGUCAUGAUGGAAGCUUUAAUCCUCGAAGAAAGCCUCACCUUUACCGCCGCCAGCAUGCGCGGGAAGCAGGUGCUCAAUCGGCUUCUCCUUUUUCUGCAAGGCGCGGCGGAGCUUCAUCAGCGCAAUGUUCUGCAGUUGACGGAUGCGUUCGCGCGUCACGCCAAACUUCUUGCCGACUUCUUCCAGGGUUUUUGCCUUUCCGCCGUCGAGACCAAACCGAGAAAAGAUGAUCUUCUUUUCGCGCUCAUCGAGGACGCUCAGGAGAUCGCCCACCUCGUCUCGCAGGUUUUUGUCGCGCAAAUUCUCAAAUGGCGUCAGAGCCUCAAGAUCGCCAACGAUUUCCCCGAACUCCGUGGAGUCAUCGUCGCUGAUCGGCGCAUCGAAGCGAAGCCGGCCGAAUCGAUACCGUCUUCAACUGCGAAAUCUUGCCCGCUGCCAACCCAACUUCUUCUGCCAGUUCGUCAUCGGUCGGCUCGCGUCCAAGUUCCUCGCUCAUUUGCAGCGCGACCCGGCGCAUCUUCGAAAUUUUAUCCACGAGGUGGACCGGCAACCGAAUAGUCUUUGACUGAUUGGCCAAAGCACGUUUGAUGGACUGCUUGAUCCACCACGCGGCAUAGGUCGAGAGCUUGCCGCCCUUGGCGGGAUCAAAACGCUCGACCGCCUUCAUCAGAC